rnacentral:rRNA from 1 species
CCCUUAGAUAUUCUGGGCCGCACGCGUGCUACACUGAGUGGAUCAGCGGGUCAGGUUGCGCGAAAGUGUUUCCUAAUCUUGAAAUCCGCUCGUGAUGGGGAUUGACGGUUGCAAUUUUCCGUCAUGAACGAGGAAUACCUUGUAAGCGCGGGUCAUCAUCCCGCGCUGAAUACGUCCCUGCCCUUUGUACACACCGCCCGUCGCUCCUACCGAUUGAGUGGUCCGGUGAGGCUUUGGGAUCUGAGCGGAAAGAGCGUUUCGCUGUUUCUGCUCGGAAAACUCAGUCGAACCUUAUCAUUUAGAGGAAGGAGAAGUCGUAACA